rnacentral:lncRNA from 1 species
CCCGCCCCUGCCCCGGGGCAGCCUGUGCUGUUCCGUGUGCGCGGCGCAUACGCACCUGGGUUGUCUCGAGCCUGCGGUAGUGGCCAGAUCCCAGACAUCCGAGUAGAUCCCGUGAAAAGGUCUCCCACGUGGGCUGUGGACAGGGCCCAAGGGUAGCAGAGCUAGCAGAGGCAGUGACGGACUGUGUGGCAGGUCAUUUGCAAGGAGAAAAGCCGUCUGCCUCUUAAUUUGUGGCUCAAGUUUCAGAAUUUUUUUCCUGAGGGACUUUAGAAAUUACUUCAGGCUUGCCACCUAACCUUAAACCACCCCCUUGGAGACUGGCUAAGUGUUAUUUGUGUUUUCUGUUUAGUUCUUAUCACCAUCGAUACUUGGUUAUGACUGGUUGUGUACAUUGGUUAGCCCAGCAAGUAUUACUUCUCCAGCUUAACAGAUGUGGAAACUUAAGCCCAGAGACAUGAGUUGACACCCCACCCCCAAAGCUAGAGUCUAAAACCCUUUCUUUCGCUCCUCAUCUCCCACAGGAUAAAAUGCAAAUUAAUCAGACUAGUGGUGAGGCCCUCCGUGGUGUGACUAACCUGCAUCCCGACGUUUUCACCCUACUUUGAUCCAGAAAGCACCUUUCCGCCCCAUCUCUUCUCCUUUCCUUAAAUACCCCUUACAACUUCCUGUACCAUUCUUCCCUGUUCAGCUUCUUCUUGGUUUCUUCGUACAUUCUGGAUCCACCCCUUUCAUGCAUAUUCCAGACCACAUUUCCACUGGAGCAGUUGAAAUGAGAGAGAUGGGAAUGGGACUCACCCGAACCAGAGGAAUUUUUAUUACAGACCCAUUAACAGAGGUGUCAAAGUCACAGGAACAAGGAUGUGCACCUCAGAAACACAGAGGUCAGUGGAAAAUCAGUUUGCUUCUAUUUGUUUAAAAAAUGGGGGACUUAUGCAUAAAUCUAAGACCUUCUUGAAUCUAACAUUCUAAGACCUGUAUGCCACAGAAAGGAGGGUCUCAGAACGCCGGAGGAUAGUAUUUAAAUCUUAAAUAUCUAUAUUGUUCUCCACAGUUACUGGGUCACCACAUAGCAGGCAUUCAAUAAAAACGUGUUUGUUUACUAAGUA